rnacentral:rRNA from 1 species
GAUGAACGCUGGCGGCGUGCCUAAUACAUGCAAGUCGAGCGAACAGACGAGGAGCUUGCUCCUCUGACGUUAGCGGCGGACGGGUGAGUAACACGUGGAUAACCUACCUAUAAGACUGGGAUAACUUCGGGAAACCGGAGCUAAUACCGGAUAAUAUAUUGAACCGCAUGGUUCAAUAGUGAAAGACGGUUUUGCUGUCACUUAUAGAUGGAUCCGCGCCGCAUUAGCUAGUUGGUAAGGUAACGGCUUACCAAGGCAACGAUGCGUAGCCGACCUGAGAGGGUGAUCGGCCACACUGGAACUGAGACACGGUCCAGACUCCUACGGGAGGCAGCAGUAGGGAAUCUUCCGCAAUGGGCGAAAGCUUGACGGAGCAACGCCGCGUGAGUGAUGAAGGUCUUCGGAUCGUAAAAUUCUGUUAUUAGGGAAGAACAAAUGUGUAAGUAACUAUGCACGUCUUGACGGUACCUAAUCAGAAAGCCACGGCUAACUACGUG